rnacentral:rRNA from 1 species
GUCCCCCAGUCUGAUCCUGGCUCAGAUUGAACGCUGGCGGCAUGCUUUACACAUGCAAGUCGAACGGCAGCACGGGGCAACCUGGUGGCGAGUGGCGAACGGGUGAGUAAUGCAUCGGAACGUGUCCUUAAGUGGGGGAUAACGCACCGAAAGGUGUGCUAAUACCGCAUAAUCUCUACGGAGAAAAGCAGGGGAUCGCAAGACCUUGCGCUUUUGGAGCGGCCGAUGUCUGAUUAGCUAGUUGGUGAGGUAAAGGCUUACCAAGGCGUCGAUCAGUAGCUGGUCUGAGGGGACGACCAGCCACACUGGGACUGAGACACGGCCCAGACUCC